ACCGCGCAUGGUGGCGCACGCCUGUAAUCUCAGCUGCUUAGGAGGCAGAGGCAGGAGGAUGGCAAGUUUGAGGCCAGCCUCAGCAGCCUAGUAAGACCCUGUCUCAA
rnacentral:sRNA from 1 species